UAGGAAUGUAUCUUCCCAGCAGACUGCUGUCCUCCCAGAGGCUGAGAUAUCUCAUUGCACAACUCCAGGGGGCGCCAUUCAUGGGGACUAUGGAAUGAAUGAUGUGCCUGGGUGCUGUGCAGUGGCUCUGCCCCCAGUGGUCUAGGCAACCUCCACAGGUGCCUUCUGUGGAAACCUGAACUCUCUAGGGACCCAUACUCCCCGUUAAGGGCUUUUUUAUGCUGCUGUGGAGAUCAAAGAAAGCAUCCAAGUGGCAGGGGAGAACGUGGCAGCAGGAUAAAUAGAAAGGUGCCGAUGCAUAGAUGGAGCAUGGAGAGAUGUCAUCUUGUUGCUAACAGUGAACUGCAGUUUAUUCCUCAACUCCAGAGCGUCUUCUGGUGGGAGAAAUAGGGGUCAAGCCCAGGUGGGGAACAACAGAGGGUCUCUCGGGAAGGGGUGGGUAGUAGUAAACCACACUUGAAGGGAAGUGGGACAAGAGCUCCCUGAUCUGGGCCUCCCGGGAAGCUGUGGUCAUGGGGAAGCCAGUAGCCAGGCUUCCUGUCCCAAGACUAGCCCUGAAAGGAAGUGCAGGGCACAGCACCCUUCCUUCUCUGUGGAAGGCUUCCUGGGGUCCUGUGGUUCCAUUACCACUGCACUCAGUCUUACUCUCUUUUUGCCUGACAAAGCCUUAAAAAAGAAAUAAGCUGUGACUUUUUUCAAGUUCCCAUUUUGUGAAGUCCAUUUUCACAAGAGAAAAACCAGGAAGAGUGGUUUUUGGCUUGUUUAAUUUUGGCAGGUGAUUUACUUUCCCAACAGAUCUCUUUUUCUCAAAUCCCAAAUAUUUAUCGGAUGAGUACGAAAACAAAGCAUUUAGGAAAGAUGUUGAAUAGCAAGGUGCAUUAUCUCAGAAUCAAAAACUUGCUGAAAAUAAUCCGUGCAUUAUAUAAGCAAAUAUUAAUUAAAUUCAGAAUACAUAGAAAAAUAAUGGCAAAUAAUUAUAUGAUAUUUAUUGUGUCAGAUACUGUUCUAACUUUAUAUUAGCUCUAAAUGUCCUCAAAAACCCCUGUGACUAGGUGCUACUAUCAUCCCUAGCAUAGAGAGGAAAACUGAUGUGUAGAGAGAUUGAUUUAACCUCUCCAGGGCACUCAGCUAAGUGGCAGUGCUGGGAUUGGAACCAAGGCCAUCUGGCCCAGAGUCCUGCUAGUGACAUUAUACUGAGCUGCCCAGUAAUAUAAUGUUUACACUAAGAAUCAUUGCCUUACUGCCCCCCUAUCUGACUUUUAAAGCUGUUCUUAACAUAGCCCACCAGCAAUGAUGAAAAUGCUGCUGUUUCAGCCCAGCACUUAUGUAAGAGAGAGUCAGUCAGUGUAGGGCGCUCAAAUGUGUGUACGUAAUUUUAGCAUCCCUGUGGGAAUAUCAGCAGGUUCGGUCUAAAGGCAGGCAAACUUCUGUUUACAUAGGAUACUUUCUGAGAAUGAGGCCAAAAUACUAUACCGCAUAGAAGAGACUCAUCUGCCUGCUGUGGAGAACUCCAUUCCCCCACUGAGCAACCACCAGCCACCCAUGGGACAAGUUCCAUUGGCCUGGCCCCCUUCUUAUAGGGCCUUGGCUUGGGCAUCUGCCCCCAGCAGCAUCUUUAAAAGAGUUUAGUACUUCCCGUGGUGGUACCAGAUGACGCCUGGAGGGUGACACUAGCCUCAAAGCAUUAAGCAAACCAGUGGAGCCUGAGUCUCGAUCUCCAAGGCCGGUUCUUCAGAAAGUAACAGGGAGUCUACAGUGCAUUUUUGAAAAAUGAAGACAAAUUCCCAAAAGGGCAGCUUCAAAUGAUAGAAAUUCCAUACUUGAAUGAUAAAAGCUGGAGUCGAGCCUAGAACAAAAAGAGUUAUAUGGAAGCGGCUUUACCGUGACGUUCUGCAACUUCACUUCCGAGAGGAAUCUCACAGGCAGGCUGUCGCGGAGUUGCUCCAUGGAAAUGUGGUUAUUGAGGUUACAGAGUCUGUUAUCAGGAGGCAGUUCCACUUCCCAGAGGAGGAGAUGGACAGACCAAAGCACCCUGAGGCCAUGAGCCUGGGAGACAGACACCAGUGUAUUUUGGUCAGUUCAACAAGUGUCAGGAAUUGGCUUCUGACAUUUCCCCCUGCAGCUGCUUUUGAAUUGGAUGUUAUGUUUUCCCCUCAGACUCCUUUCUAAAAAUAUUAGUCUGUUUUUCAGAUUCAGACAGCUACAGACAUUGUUUUAAAUUUAGCACAUAGUAUAAUUUUAAAUUGUAGUCUUCCAGAGAACACAUUCUUAAUCUCAUUUACUUCUUCAUUGCCUCAAUUUCUUUAAAAAAUAACUUUAAUCAUUAGCCUUAGGGAUUACAUUUUGAAACUUCCUUUUAAACUGAAGGAAUCUGAAUAGUACUUUUAGUGCACCUGUUAUUUUAGCCAGGCCUUAUGAUGGUGAUGAUAAAAAAAAUAUUGUCUUACAUUUGUGUAAUAAUUUAGCAAUAGUAGAAUACAUAUGAGUAUUUUUGGACUUACACUCUUAUUUGUUACCUCUAUGUUUUUAAUUAAAGAGACUUUACUAAAUAGACUCUUUUUAGAUUAUGAGUAGUAUAUAGUCAUUUAGUAUCAUUGUGAAUUUAAAAAAACUAACUUAAUACAAGUGUACAGUGUCAGUCCAGACACAGGCUGGUUCCACCAGCUAAUUUAGCUGCGGAGAUGAAGGGAAAUAGACUCUUGCCAAAAAUCACUGCUGAUUCACCAGCAAAAUAUACAUUUUUUUAAAUUUUUUUUUAAAUUUGAGGCAUUAGUUGGUUUUUGUGUGUAUGCUAUGCUUCCUGUUAGGGUACAAAACAAAUCUUCCUAAGUUCAAAAAGACUGAAACCAUAUCAAGCAUCUUCUCAGAUCACGACGGCACAAAACUAGAAAUCAACUACAAUAAAAAAACUCAAAAAACAUUCAAACACAUGGAGGCUAAAUAGUAUGUUAUUAACAAUGAAUGGGUUACCAAUUAGAUCAAGGAAGAAAUAAAAAACUUCCUGAAAAUAAAUGAAAUUGAAUACACAAGAACACAAAAUUCUAUGGGACACAGAGAAAGCAGUCCUGAGGGAAGUUCAUAGCAUUACAGGCCUACCUCAAGAAAAAGAAAAAGCUCAAAUCCUAUAUAAUAAAAGUCUAAUAUGCUAAGUGCCUGGUCAUCCAGUCAUCCGAUCAAACAAUCGAAGCAUAAUAUACUAAUGAUAUACUGAGGCUGCUCAACUGCUCACUAUGAUGUGCACUGAUCACCAGGGGGCAGAUGCUCUGUCCUGUAAGUUAGCUUGCUGCUGGGGUAUGGCCAUUUGGGACUGAGCAAGACAGGCGGACAUGCCCUGGAGACCUCCUGCAGCCCCUCCCCCCAGCUGGCCCUGCCCCCCAUGGGCCCCCAUCGUGGCGGGCCAGCCGGACCCUACUCGUGAACGAAUUCGUGCACCAGGCCUCUAGUAAGUGAUAAAUCCUACACCUAAAAGAAAUAGAGAACAAGAAGAAAAGCCCCGAAGAAGUAGAAGGAAGGAAUAAUAAAGAUCAGAGCGGAAGCCCUAGCUGAUUUGGCUCAGUGGAUAGAGUGUCGGCCUGCAGACUAAAGGGUCCUAGGUUCGAUUCCAGUCAAGGGCACAUGCCCGGGUUUGGGGCUUGAUCCCCAGCAGGGGGCAUGCAGGAGGCAGCCAAUCAAUGAUUCUCUUUUAUCGUUGAUAUUUCUAUUUCUCUCUCCCUCUCCCUUCCUCUCUUAAAUCAAUAAAAGGAUAAAAAUAAAAAUAUAUCGGAGCUGAAAUAAAUGACACAGACACUAAACAAUAUAAAAGAUCAAUGAAACCAAGAACUAGUUCUUUGAAAAGAUAAACAAGAUUGAUGAACCUUUAGUCAGAAUCAUCAAGAAACAAAGAGAAAGGACCCAAAUAAGUAAAAUCAGAAAUGAAAAAGGCACCACAGAAAUACAAAGGAUUGUAAGAGAAUACUUUGAACACCUACUAGUAUAUGCCAACAAACUGGACAACCUGGGACAAAUGGACAAAUUCCUGAAAACAUACAAUCUUCCAAAACUCAUUCAGGGGAAAUCAGAAAACCUGAAUAGGCUGAUAACAACUAAUGAAAUUGAAGCAGUAAUCAAAAAAAUCUCCUAGCAAACAAAAGUCCUGGACCUGAUAGAUUUACAGACAAGUAAUAUCAAACAUUCAAAGAAGAGCUAACACCUGUCCUCCUCAAACUCUUCCAAAAAAUUCAAGAGGAGGGAAGACUUCCAAGCUCUUUUUACAAGGCCAGCAUUAUCCUAAUUCCAAAACCAGAUAAGAACACUACAAAGAAAUAAAAUUACAGGCCAAUAUCCCUGAUCAACAUGGAUGCUAAAAUUCUCAACAAAAUAUUAGCAAAUAGGAUCCAGCAAUACAUUAAGAAGAUCAUACACCAUGACCAAGUGGGAUUUAUUCUGGGGAUACAAGGCUGGUUAAUAUUCGCAAAUCAAUAAAUGUGAUACAUCACAUAAACAAAAUGAAGGGUAAAAAUCAUAUCAUAUCAACAGAUGCAGAAAAAGCAUUCAACAAAAUACAACAUUCACUUUUUUAAAAUAUACAUAUAUCUUAUUGAUUUUUUUACAGAGAGGAAGGGAAAGGGAGAGGAAUAGAGAGUCAGAAACAUCGAUGAGAGAGAAACACCGAUCAGCUGCCUCCUGCACACUCCCUACUGGGGAUGUGUCCGCCACCAAGGUACAUGCCCUUUACCAGAAUCGAACCUGGACCCUUCAGUCCACAGGCCGAUGCUCUACCCACUGAGCCAAACCAGUCAGGGCAGCAUUCACUUUUGAUAAAAACUCCCAGCAAAGUGGAAAUAGCGGAAACACACCUCAACAUAAUAAAGGCCAUAUAUGAUAAACCUGUAGCCAACAAUAUAUUCAAUGGGCAAAAACUAAAAGCAUUUCCCUUAAGAACAGGAACAAGACAGGGUUGUCUGCUUUCAUUGUUCUUAUUCAACCUAGUACUAGAAGUUUAGCCACAGUGAUCAGACAAGAAGAAGAAAUAAAAGGCAUCCAAAUUGGAAAGGAGGAAGUAAAACUCUCAUUACUCACAAUUAACAUAAUAUUGUACACAGAAAACUCUAAAUAUUCCACCAAAAAAACUACUAGAUUUAAUAAAUGAAAUUGGCAAAGUAGCAGAAUACAAAAUUAACAUCCAGAAAGCAAUGGCAUUUUUAUAUACCAAUAAUGAAUUCUCAAAAAGAGAAACUAAAAAACCAAUCCCAUUUACCAUUGUAACAAAAAUAAUAAGAUACCUGGGAAUAUACUUAACUGCUGGGGUAAAAGACCUAUGUUCGGAAAACUCUAAGACAUUGAAAAAAGAAAUAGUGGACUAUACAAACAAGUGGAAGCAUAUACUGUGUUCAUGGAUUGGGAGAAUAACAUCAUUAAAAUGUGUACUAACCAAGGCAAUCUAUAGAUUCAAUGCAAUCCCUAUCAAAAUACCAUCGGCAUAUUUCACAGAUCUAGAAAAUAUUUUCCAAAAAUUUAUAUGGAACCUAAAAAGACCGUGAAUAGCCACAGCAAUCUUGAGAAAGAAGAACAAAAUUGUAGGGGUCAGCAUACCAGAUAUCAAAUUAUUCUACAAAGCCAUUGUGAUUAAAACAGCCUGGUACUGGCACAAAAACAGACAUAUAGAUCAAUGAAACAAAACAGAGACUCCAGAAAUUGACCCAUGCCAUUAUGGUCAAUUAAUAUUUGACAAAGGAGGCAAGAGCAUACAGUGGAAUAACGACAGUCUCUUCAAUAAAUGGUGUUGGAAAAAUUGGAUAGUUAAAUGAAAAAAAAAGAAACUAGACCACCAACUUACACCAUACACAAGAAUAAACUCAAAAUGGAUAGAAGACUUAAAAGUAAGUCAUGAAACCAUAAAAAUCCUAGAAGAAAACAGGCAGUAAAAUCUCAGACAUCUCACAUAGCAGAAUUUUCUCUGAUAACAUCUCCUAGGGCAAGAGAAACGAAGGAAAAAAAUAAACAAAUGGGGCUACAUUAAACUAAAAAGCUUCUGCACAGAAAAAAAAAAUCCUCAAAAUGAAAA